rnacentral:rRNA from 1 species
UACGUAGGCGGCAAGCGUUGUCCGGAUUUAUUGGGUUUAAAGGGUGCGUAAGCGGUUGUCUAAGUCAGUGGUGAAAUCCGGCAGCUUAACUGUCGAUGUGCCAUUGAUACUGGAUGACUUGAGUACUGAUGAGGUAGGCGGAAUUGACGGUGUAGCGGUGAAAUGCUUAGAUAUCGUCAAGAACACCGAUAGCGAAGGCAGCUUACUAAGGAGUAACUGACGCUGAGGCACGAAAGCCAGGGGAGCGAACGGG